UACGUAGGUGGCGAGCGUUAUCCGGAAUUACUGGGUGUAAAGGGUGUGUAGGCGGGACGGCAAGUCAGAUGUGAAAUCCGAGGGCUCAACCUUCGGUCUGCAUUUGAAACUGCUGUUCUUGAGUGUCGGAGAGGUAAACGGAAUUCCCAGUGUAGCGGUGAAAUGCGUAGAUAUUGGGAGGAACACCAGUGGCGAAGGCGGUUUACUGGACGACAACUGACGCUGAGACACGAAAGCGUGGGGAGCAAACAGG
rnacentral:rRNA from 1 species